UUGGCCCAGAUCGUUUACCGUGAAAAAAUUAGAGUGUUCAAAGCAGGCAGAUCCAAUUUUCUGCCACCGAAUACAUUAGCAUGGGAUAAUGGAAUAGGACCCUGUCCUCCUAUUUUCAGUUGGUUUUGGCAGCGCGAGGACUAGGGUAAUGAUUAAUAGGGAUAGUUGGGGGCAUUAAUAUUUAAUUGUCAGAGGUGAAAUUCUUGGAUUUAUGAAAGAUUAACUUCUGCGAAAGCAUCUGCCAAGGAUGUUUUCAUUAAUCAAGAACGAAAGUUAGGGGAUCGAAGACGAUCAGAUACCGUCGUAGUCUUAACCAUAAACGAUGCCGACCAGCGAUUAGGAGACGUUGAAUACAAAACACCACCAUCGGUGCGGUCGUCCUUGGCGUCGGUCUUUCGGGGCCGGCGCGGGGACGGCUUAGCCCGGUGGCACCGGUGAAUGACUCCCCUAGCAGCUUGUG
rnacentral:rRNA from 1 species